CUUCCGUAGGUGAACCUGCGGAAGGAUCAUUACCGAGUGAGGGCCCUUUGGGUCCAACCUCCCACCCGUGUUUAUUUACCUCGUUGCUUCGGCGGGCCCGCCUUAACUGGCCGCCGGGGGGCUCACGCCCCCGGGCCCGCGCCCGCCGAAGACACCCCCGAACUCUGCCUGAAGAUUGUCGUCUGAGUGAAAAUAUAAAUUAUUUAAAACUUUCAACAACGGAUCUCUUGGUUCCGGCAUCGAUGAAGAACGCAGCGAAAUGCGAUACGUAAUGUGAAUUGCAAAUUCAGUGAAUCAUCGAGUCUUUGAACGCACAUUGCGCCCCCUGGUAUUCCGGGGGGCAUGCCUGUCCGAGCGUCAUUGCUGCCCUCAAGCCCGGCUUGUGUGUUGGGCCCCGUCCUCCGAUUCCGGGGGACGGGCCCGAAAGGCAGCGGCGGCACCGCGUCCGGUCCUCGAGCGUAUGGGGCUUUGUCACCCGCUCUGUAGGCCCGGCCGGCGCUUGCCGAUCAACCCAAAUUUUAUCCAGGUUGACCUCGGAUCAGUAGG
rnacentral:rRNA from 1 species